rnacentral:lncRNA from 1 species
CGGCUUCCGAACGUGCACGUCAGAGCGGUGGCCCAACCUGAAGUAAUCCCCCUUUCCCCUGAGAGGAGGCCCGUGGUGGAGUGUUACAAUACGGUUAUGGUCUUACCAUGCGAUACAAGAAGACACUCAUUGUCUCACAUCUUUCACAGCCAGCUCAAUGACAUCACACACAGCACCCAAGGUCUUCGAACUUGUAUUCAAAAUCAUACACCAUUAAUUCAAAUUAACUUAUUAAGUCAGCUGGGAAAAACCUUAAUACCUUAAUACAUGUUCUACAAUAUUUAAGUUACUGUUGUAGGUUUUCAUAUAGACUGAAAAUAAGACACACUACUGCAAACACCUAUCCAAAGUCCUAUCUAGUAUACAUCUUUCUUAAAGUGCCAAUGUUGGCCAGUCGCGGUGGUUCACGCCUGUAAUCCCAGCACUUUGGGAGGCUGAGGUGGGUGGAUCACGAGGUCAGGAGAUUGAGACCAUCCUGGCUAACACGGUGAAACCCCAUCUCUACUAAAAAUACAAAAAAAUUAGCCGGGCAUGGUGGCAGACACCUGUAGUCCCAGCUACUCGGGAGGCUGAGGCAGGAGAAUGGUGUGAACCCCGGAGGCGGAGCUUGCAAUGAGCUGAGAUUGUGCCACUGCAUUCCAGCCUGGGCGAUAGAGCGAGACUCCAUCUCAAAUAAAUAAAUAAAUAAAUAGUGCCAAUGUUAUGACCAGAGGCAGCAAGGCCUGACACAGCAUCCAAGGCCAGUCUGGGCACCUGCUCUUUUGCACAUUAAUAUAAUAAGCUUUAACAAGAAAUACAUGUUAACUUUCUCAGGAUCAAAGGAUUCAGAAGGCUAUUUUGCUCUCAUUUUAUCCUUAGGCUUCAGCAGAAGAAACACUUCCUAUAAAUCUCGCCCAAACAGGAAAGGACAAAGAUGCAUGCAUAAGUAAAAAUAUGACAGGUCACAAUCACGCCGGGGUGGUCCUGGGGCGAGGCCCAAGUUCCCUGCACGCACCGGCACAAGCACGCACACUGUGAUGGGGAGGACGUUUACGUACCAUGUCCACACCACUCCAGACUUGGAGAAGCAUCAGGGUGUCCGACUACGUGGGUUUCAUAGCUGUGGAAAAGCCAAAGGGGAGACUCCUGAAGAAAGGCGGUGAAGACUGUGAAGAGCGGGUCAGGAAGAUGAGCACAGCACUGCUACUCCUGUGGGCACAGGGACAGCAUGUCUCCAGCCAGCGCCACCUUGUUUAAUACAUGGGAACUCACUGAAAUUCAUUCUGUAUUUUGCCCACAAAGUUUUAAAGCUUUCAUCCACAGUCAGGAAUUAAACUUAUACCAAUGAGAGCCUCACACAUUCAAGGAUGUACUAAGCACUACAGGCCUCACAGAAACAGAGAUCCCAUCUUGGAGUUUUCAGUCCCACAUGGGAGAUAAAGGGUUUUGAACAUGAAAUGACAAAAACAACAGCAAGAAGAAAAUUCUCGUCCUUUUUCAUUACUAUCAAACUCAAAUAAAUGUCUUGGCUCUUACAUUACAUUCAUUCUUCAACCAUUGUGGUCUGGCUUCCACUUCCUUCACUUCACCAACAUGGCUCUGCCAAAGGAAGCCUGUGAUCUCUAGGCCAUCACUUUAAUUGAUCUCUCUACAACAUUUAUCCUGGUCGUUAAGCCCUCCUUACAACAUUCUUCUCUCU